rnacentral:rRNA from 1 species
CACUCCUACGGGAGGCAGCAGUGGGGAAUAUUGGACAAUGGGCGCAAGCCUGAUCCAGCCAUGCCGCGUGAGUGAUGAAGGCCCUAGGGUUGUAAAGCUCUUUCACCGGUGAAGAUAAUGACGGUAACCGGAGAAGAAGCCCCGGCUAACUUCGUGCCAGCAGCCGCGGUAAUACGAAGGGGGCUAGCGUUGUUCGGAUUUACUGGGCGUAAAGCGCACGUAGGCGGACUAUUAAGUCAGGGGUGAAAUCCCGGGGCUCAACCCCGGAACUGCCUUUGAUACUGGUAGUCUUGAGUUCGAGAGAGGUGAGUGGAAUUCCGAGUGUAGAGGUGAAAUUCGUAGAUAUUCGGAGGAACACCAGUGGCGAAGGCGGCUCACUGGCUCGAUACUGACGCUGAGGUGCGAAAGCGUGGGGAGCAAACAGGAUUAGAAACCCCGGUAGUCCCAUGA